UUCGGUCAAUUAGAGUUUAUGCAUUUGCUACUGAAACUCUAAAUAUCAUAGUGCUGCACUUAUGGCAGGACAUUACAUACAUGAAUUUUCAAGUGGAAAGCAACUAUAAUCUCAUGCUUAGCAGAAUUCUCCCCGUGUCAGUAUCUGAGUAAGCAUCUUUGCUUAAUGUCUAUUUUCUAACAUGGUAGCCAUCGCCAUUACCUCCCCUCUCUCGUCGCCGCCCCAAGAAUUGAUAAAAGCAUCAGUCCUAAGAUAACAGAUAUAACCAUGUGCGCUCACAAUCAUUCCAGUAAGCGGUCGCUAUUCAACUACAUUGGAGUCUUCACAGCAACGCAAUCAUUAUAAACAUUACCUAGUCUCAAGAACCAUGAAAAUACUGCCAGCCCAGCACAAAAGUUUCAACUAUCCACUUAGCAGUAUUCUCAGUUCUUUACUUUCAUUAGGAUUGAAUAUCUAAUUUUCAUUUCACCUUCAAAUCACCAUGGGAAAAAUCUUUCCAUAGUCCUCAAAG
rnacentral:misc_RNA from 1 species